rnacentral:rRNA from 1 species
AUUUUGGGCGUAAGGGCUCGCAGGCGGUUUCUUAAGUCUGAUGUGAAAGCCCCCGGCUCAACCGGGGAGGGUCAUUGGAAACUGGGGAACUUGAGUGCAGAAGAGGAGAGUGGAAUUCCACGUGUAGCGGUGAAAUGCGUAGAGAUGUGGAGGAACACCAGUGGCGAAGGCGACUCUCUGGUCUGUAACUGACGCUGAGGAGCGAAAGCGUGGGGAGCGAACAGGAUUAGAUACCCUGGUAGUCCACGCCGUAAACGAUGAGUGCUAAGUGUUAGGGGGUUUCCGCCCCUUAGUGCUGCAGCUAACGCAUUAAGCACUCCGCCUGGGGAGUACGGUCGCAAGACUGAAACUCAAAGGAAUUGACGGGGGCCCGCACAAGCGGUGGAGCAUGUGGUUUAAUUCGAAGCAACGCGAAGAACCUUACCAGGUCUUGACAUCCGGCGGGCGAUCCUAGAGAUAGGACGUCCCCUUCGGGGGCAGAGUGACAGGUGGUGCAUGGUUGUCGUCAGCUCGUGUCGUGAGAUGUUGGGUUAAGUCCCGCAACGAGCGCAACCCUUGAUCUUAGUUGCCAGCAUUCAGUUGGGCACUCUAAGGUGACUGCCGGUGACAAACCGGAGGAAGGUGGGGAUGACGUCAAAUCAUCAUGCCCCUUAUGACCUGGGCUACACACGUGCUACAAUGGACAGAACAAAGGGCAGCGAAACCGCGAGGUUAAGCCAAUCCCACAAAUCUGUUCUCAGUUCGGAUCGCAG